AGCUGUGAGGGCAAUCUGGCUGUGAAGUGUGUGCUCAUUUGGCUAACCUGGCUGGUUAGGCAGGGGUCGCCUUUCUCCAUCACUUCCUCCCAAAGCUCCAUACCCAGUUGAGUCAAUACUUCCUGGUAGAUGCAGGUCCACUCUUGAGUCAAGGGCAUGUAAAUAGUGGAAGUCCCCUGCUGAACCACCAAACAAAUUCUCAAAGGCAUGGUAGUUUUCCUUUAGGCUGUCAUCCUUUUCACCUUCCUCUUUGCCACAAAGCUGGAGCCCAGU
rnacentral:snRNA from 1 species